UACGUAGGGUGCGAGCGUUGUCCGGAAUUAUUGGGCGUAAAGGGCUCGUAGGCGGUCUGUUGCGUCGGGAGUGAAAACUCAGGGCUUAACCCUGAGCCUGCUUCCGAUACGGGCAGACUAGAGGUAUGCAGGGGAGAACGGAAUUCCUGGUGUAGCGGUGAAAUGCGCAGAUAUCAGGAGGAACACCGGUGGCGAAGGCGGUUCUCUGGGCAGUAGCUGACGCUGAGGCGCGACAGCGUGGGGAGCAAACAGG
rnacentral:rRNA from 1 species